GAGCCGCCUCCGGCACCCACGGCAUCACGGGAUAGUGGAGGAUGUCCUUCUGGCGUUAUGGAGGGCGUUGUCUGCAGUCGUAGGGACUGUAAUACUCAUUGAUUCUCUCACAUAAUGUCUUUGUCGCCAUCAGGUGUCAAGACUAGAAAUUCCCAACCGGACUCCGCGGAAGUUCAUAAACUCCCCACCCUCCAAAAAAAAUAGAAGGACUUGCACUCCCCAAGAUCCGUUUCCGAGCUUCUGCGUAUUCAGCUUCUCGCUGGGCCAGCGAUUUGACUUGUGGAGGUGGUCUUGUGGUGGAGUUGGGUGUGCUGACUACCCCAUUACUCGUCGGCCUCUUCAAAAUGCGGAUUUGUGGAGCACAGGGCGUUGGAUGGAGGUCAUCCUGUAUGACGAUGGGAACCUUAGGCGUCAGCUUCGAUUUUCUGUUUGAAAAUUUAAAAAACUUUGAUGUUCCAGAAUAGCAUUACACUCCCUCAAGAAAAAGAAACUUGUCAAACAUAAGAAGGAGACAGUGUAAAACUGGGAGACAAGAACAGAAAUGGAAGUCUUGCAGGAAUGCUGUGCUGAGGAAUAAUGGCAGCAUUCAUGCAAAAUGGAGUUGUGACAUAGUGCAUUGGCAAUUACCCACAAAUGGUGUGCUCUCACCCUUCAUGUUUUCCUCUAAACACAAAAGUAAUUUUUGUUAUAAACAGCUAAUUCAGAAAAGCAAGGCCUAUUCAAUGGCUCAGAUUCAGAAGGUUCCUGUUUUGUACUGAAUUUGCCAUUGUAAUUUCUCUGUUCAGACACCCCAAAAUCUAAGCAGUUUUGAUGCCAUAUUUACUAUACCUCUAACCUCAGAUUAUUAGCAUUUCUUAAUCUUCAUAAUUACAAAGAAAUGACAUACAGAAAAAGAUACUUUGCUCCUCCCACCCUAUCCCACAUAAGCUGCAGUAGCUUGUGCUUAGUAAAUAUACUCCCCACCCAAAACCAUAUGAUCUGAAGUGAUUCUUAAUUAUUGGUAGCAGUCAUUAACGGUCAGGCAGGAAGAUAGGGGAAGUGAAUCACAAGCAAUCAAACCACUUGUUACAACCGAUUAGACUUCAUAGUUUAUUACUGGGAAAGAAAUAGGUUUUAAUUUUGCAAUGUAGGAGCUCCCACAGCUAUGUUCCUGGUAAGUUGGAUUGUACACUUAUAUAGAGGACAGGAGUGUCAGAUUCCAAAGUAGAGAUUUACAUGUUGCUGAAGGAAAACAAUGCUUUUGAUUAAAUGCACAAACACCAUUCUAUAGUCAAGGGUUGAAAUCAAAAUUUAAUUGCUCUUCAGUUCACAGAAUCCCAACAGCCUUUUAAUUUUUUUGUUGUAUUACUUGGUACACUCAAAAGGGAAAAAGACAAUCUGAUUAAUCUAUUUUGAAUUGAUGCACAAAUAUAAAUGGAAAAUAAACUGCCUCCAUCAAGAAUAUCAUAUGA